rnacentral:pre_miRNA from 1 species
GGGGGGAGGCCAGAUCCUGGGCUGUGUUCCGGCGCCCUGUGUUCCUGGUCUGCUCUGUGGGAUUCGUGCUCUCGGGCACACAGUCCCCU